AUGAGAUUUAAUAGAAAUGCUACAGCUCUCCGCCCUGGAAUUUUCGCCAUACGAUAUGUGCUCAAAGCAAUGAGAAAUCCUCACGAAGAAGCUAAAACCCAGCAAAAUACUGACGAAGACCCUGCUGAAGAGCAUGCAAUCCAGCAAGCUCCUAUCAAAGGACACAAAGACGGUGAUAUUGACAGCACACAAACACAAAGCAUGUCUCCUCAUUCAUCAGAAAAGGACACAGAACAGAACAUGAGGAACAAACCACCUACUGCAGAAAUGGUAACUUACACCAGGCUCAACAGGAUUAAACACCUAGCAACAAGCAAAAAAAAGAGAAAAUUAGAUAUCAGCACUGUUUUUACUCCUGAAGCAAAAAGGCAAAAGAAAAAGGACAAUGCUGAAAACAUCGUCGACACUGGUACCUUGCAGCAUCAGCCAUUACCUCUAAUGGUACUCCCGCCAACAGAACCAACCGGCACUAAGAAACAAGUUGAACGCAAGAAGAAAAACAAACGACAAAGGGUAGAAAAAGAACAAGACGAUACCAACAACAAAGGUUCAGAUACCAAUGAUGACGACGAUGACAGACAGCAUGAUGCAGAUUUCAUUCCUACAGACGGUGAUGAUGCCGAAGAGCACGACAGCGAUAUAGAACAUGACGAUGAUCCCAAAUCAGGCAAGAAGGACAGAAAGAGAAGAAAGACAAGCGGGAAACAACUGGUAGCACCAACAGUUGACGAAGAACAGCAAGAAACAGACGAAGAGAAAUGCCAAAUCAAGGUAGGGGCAGCAUUCGCCCAUGUCAAGAAAGCAUGGAAUUUACUUAAAGACCGUCACAAGAAAGAUAUUAGGACGGCAGGAUUUGGCAGCAUAGAGAACUGCAAAAUAACAGGCUCCAUCUACAGACCGCUUGCAGCACACAUCUACGACAACCUCAACACAGAAACCAUGACAAUAACCUUCGGUGAUGCUACUGAAGACAAAAAAAUCAAGAUUACCAAGGAAGCUACCCACAAGGUGUUUGGAUACCCAAACGGCAUGCAAAGGUCAGCACCAAGGCCAGACACUAGCCCAGCUUCAAUGAAAGAACUGAUGUCAGACCUUGGCUUCAAAGAUACAAAAUUCGCGCCAAAACAACUGUUCGAGAAGCUACAAAUAUUGGUGGAAAUAGAUGACGAAGAAUCAAACAGGAAAUCAGUUAAAAUAUUUUUCCUUAUUUUUUUCCACAAUGUUGUCUGCGGGUUAAGCGCCGCUAUCUUCGCCCGGACAGCUAUGAUGGUCAAGGACAUGGACUAUCCAGAAAUGGCAAAGAUGGAUUUCUGCGAGGUAAUCAUCGAAUGUAUUAGGGAAGGAGCCAAGACAUGGCAGAAGCACAGGAUGUUGCCUCAGGAAAAAAAGAACAAAAAGCACGUCAAUGGUUUGGCACAGGUACCAGUAAUCAUGUACCUUGACUCCCUACUGCUGCCAACCGACACAAAAGAAAUGCGGAAGAUUGCGAAGACAAUGGACAAAACCUCAUUACCACAAGCAAACCAUCUCAAAGAGAGUGACCUAGCGAAAAUAGCUAGAGCAGACAUGAAAACAAACAGAAAAGCACGACCAGAUGACUAUGAAUUUGGCAAGAUGCAGAUAGCAGGAGAAAAUCGUAAAGAACAGCAACACCAGCACACAACCAAACUGCUACCACCUCCACCCAAGCACCGGCACGAACCACGUAUCGGCACCAGUGGAAGCACGGAACCAAACAAAAAGAUCAGCACAGGACCAGACGAAAGAUUCCAAAGGAUAAACAAAUUGUUGGAAAAAGUGCUCCAUGAAGCAGAACAGUUACCCGCAGUAACCACCAGGGCUAAACACCGAUGCAACGAAAAAGAAGAGAUAUUGGAUGAAAAAAACAAGGACAAAGUCGUGCAACAAACAAUUGCCCUGAUGGAUUCUCUAGAACAACUUAGACAAUUUCAAGACAUAGUUUGCACAAGGUACCUCACCGAUAACGCGACCCUGCAGACGCUAGAGCAAGCAGUUCCAGCAGCAUCAAGUAGACUAGUCGAUGCCAACCGCACGAAUGAAAUAGUAGCCACAACAGAACAAAGAGAAAGGAGAAAAAGUAAUAAAGAAGAAGAGGACGAAGAGAGAAAGAUAAGAACAAAAUCAAGGGACGUGGGCAUUGACAAGAAGAAGAUAAAGCGGCAAAAACAGGAUGGCGUCAACAACCCCAAAAACAAAGCAACCUCACAACAGGCAGUGCUACAACAACAACUACCCCAACACAAGCACAAGAUACGAUCGACGUCAGAACCAGUGAAGAGGCUCAGCUGGAGAACAAUCAAGUCAGCAGUCCCAUCAACCAAAUGUAAGAGGCUGACCCACAAUCAACCGUUAGCAUAA
rnacentral:rRNA from 1 species